rnacentral:rRNA from 1 species
UACGUAGGUGGCGAGCGUUGUCCGGAUUUACUGGGCGUAAAGGGAGCGUAGGCGGACUUUUAAGUGAGAUGUGAAAUACUCGGGCUCAACAUGAGUGCUGCAUUUCAAACUGGAAGUCUAGAGUGCAGGAGAGGAGAAUGGAAUUCCUAGUGUAGCGGUGAAAUGCGUAGAGAUUAGGAAGAACACCAGUGGCGAAGGCGAUUCUCUGGACUGUAACUGACGCUGAGGCUCGAAAGCGUGGGGAGCAAACAGG